GCCAGUGUGGUGUAGUGAUCUGAGUAUCGGACUAGGACUCUGGAGACCAGGGUUUGAAUCCCCGCUCAGCCA